ensembl:misc_RNA Metazoa_SRP Metazoan signal recognition particle RNA
GCCUGGUGGGCACAGUGGCAGAUGCCUAUAGGCCCAGUUACUUGGGAGGCUGAGGCAGAAGUUUCACUUGAGUCUAGGAAUUCUGGGCUGUAGCGUGCUCCACCAAUCAUGUGUCCACAAUAAAUUCGGCAUCAAUAUGGUGACCGUGUGGGAGCAGGGGACCACUAGGUUGCCUAAGAAUGGGUGAACUGACCCAGGUCAGAAAUGAAGGAGGUCAAAACCGCAGUGCUGGGGUAUGGUGGCUCACAUCUGUAAUCCUAGCACUUUAGGAGGCUGAGGUGGGAUGACUGCUUGAGGCCAAACGUUCUAAACCAGCCUGGGCAACAUACUGAGACUCCAUCGCU